UACGUAGGGGGCAAGCGUUGUCCGGAAUCAUUGGGCGUAAAGAGCGUGUAGGCGGUUCGGGAAGUCGGCUGUGAAAGUCCAGGGCUCAACCCUGGGAUGCCGGUCGAUACUGCCGGACUAGAGUUCGGAAGAGGCGAGUGGAAUUCCCGGUGUAGCGGUGAAAUGCGCAGAUAUCGGGAGGAACACCUAUGGCGAAGGCAGCUCGCUGGGACGUUACUGACGCUGAGACGCGAAAGCGUGGGGAGCGAACAGG
rnacentral:rRNA from 1 species